GCUUACACAUGCAAGUCGAGCGGAGCGAGGGUGCUUGCACCUUAGCUUAGCGGCGGACGGGUGAGUAAUGCUUAGGAAUCUGCCUAUUAGUGGGGGACAACAUUCCGAAAGGAAUGCUAAUACCGCAUACGCCCUACGGGGGAAAGCAGGGGAUCUUCGGACCUUGCGCUAAUAGAUGAGCCUAAGUCGGAUUAGCUAGUUGGUGGGGUAAAGGCCUACCAAGGCGACGAUCUGUAGCGGGUCUGAGAGGAUGAUCCGCCACACUGGGACUGAGACACGGCCCAGACUCCUACGGGAGGCAGCAGUGGGGAAUAUUGGACAAUGGGCGGAAGCCUGAUCCAGCCAUGCCGCGUGUGUGAAGAAGGCCUUUUGGUUGUAAAGCACUUUAAGCGAGGAGGAGGCUACUUAGAUUAAUACUCUAGGAUAGUGGACGUUACUCGCAGAAUAAGCACCGGCUAACUCUGUGCCAGCAGCCGCGGUAAUACAGAGGGUGCGAGCGUUAAUCGGAUUUACUGGGCGUAAAGCGUGCGUAGGCGGCUUUUUAAGUCGGAUGUGAAAUCCCCGAGCUUAACUUGGGAAUUGCAUUCGAUACUGGGAAGCUAGAGUAUGGGAGAGGAUGGUAGAAUUCCAGGUGUAGCGGUGAAAUGCGUAGAGAUCUGGAGGAAUACCGAUGGCGAAGGCAGCCAUCUGGCCUAAUACUGACGCUGAGGUACGAAAGCAUGGGGAGCAAACAGGAUUAGAUACCCUGGUAGUCCAUGCCGUAAACGAUGUCUACUAGCCGUUGGGGCCUUUGAGGCUUUAGUGGCGCAGCUAACGCGAUAAGUAGACCGCCUGGGGAGUACGGUCGCAAGACUAAAACUCAAAUGAAUUGACGGGGGCCCGCACAAGCGGUGGAGCAUGUGGUUUAAUUCGAUGCAACGCGAAGAACCUUACCUGGUCUUGACAUACAGAGAACUUUCCAG
rnacentral:rRNA from 1 species